AAUUGGGUGGCGGGUGCGAGGCGGGCUCUGCUAGCAGUUAAGGCUGCCGCCGGCCCGACAACAGAAGCUAGCUGAGGCGGAGAAAUGACGGCGCUUGGCGAAGGUGGCCCCGCUUCGCCUCACAGAGGGUUGGUAAAGGGUGGCGGGUCAAGAGAUAGUCACCCCGGUUUUGCGCUGUAAGACGGUCAAUCCUUAUCCACGGGAGUCGGCUCCACUGGACACAGUGGGUCUUAACAUCGGAAUAACCAUGCAAGAGAGGUAACCAAAAGCGUUGUUGCUGUUGUUAUGUGCCUCCAAGUCGAUGACAACUUAUGGCGACCCUAUGAAUCAGCGACCUCCAAGAGCAUCUGUCAUGAACCACCCUGUUCAGAUCUUGUGUGGCUAACUGAAGCACUUUGAUGUGACGACGAGUGUAUGUUUACAGCCUCUGGUUGAACAGUCUUACUGGGAGCAGUUUGCGAGGGUGCCCAUUACAGUCACCACUCCCAAGUACUUAAAAAUAUUGAUUUAACCCUUGUACUUCUCACACCAUCCAGGUUGUAUGGUGGUUUAUAACAUAUGCUUGACUUGAAGGCACAUAACAACAACAAACAGAUACCCUUUUCUCUCAAGAUGAAGAAUUGUCAAUACCCACUCUCAUGGUCACUUCCGGCACUUAAUGCCCUCAAUGUGGAAAGGAACUUAAAGCAAAAGAAGGGGGAAACAUAUACCAUUGUUGUUCCGUCACCUGCAGCAGCUGCCCACCAUUUUCCACUGGCUUUGUGGGAGAGAAAAGGAGCUGCAAGACCCUGUUUCUGUACAGAGCAGUGUUUCCCUGUCAGAUGUCAGGAGAUGGAGAGAGGAACACGUGGGCCUUGAAGUUCUCUAGGCAGGCAGCUGGUUUAUUGGGGCUACUGGGGCACAGCCCUCCCAAUGAGAAUGUCAAGCAAUUUAACACACACAAACCCCAAAAAAUCUCAAAGCCGUGCACUCUUUCUUGUUCUACACACUUUUGUUUCAUCUGUUAAAUAUUCAAUGUGUUAUCAAGGGACUUGUGUUAUUGUUUGCUACAGAAUAGCACAGCUACUCCUCAGGAUUUUGCCACAAAUAGAGUCCAAAAAAAGUCUGCUUAAAACGCUCCAGACCUAUGACAUGUAAUGAAUAAUAGCUGCAGUUACAACUACAAUAAUAAAGUAACUUAAUGGCUAGGUAACACAGUGUUCAGAAAUUAUAGUCAUCAAUAAAUAUUAGAAGUGUUGCGUAGUAGUUAUUCCUUGGGGUUGUAAUAUAACUUUCCCUGUUCAGUGGAGCUUACUGUCAUGUAAAUGCAUAGGAUUGUAGCUUUAUUUUAUUUCCUUUAUAUCUCACAUUUCCUGCAAAGAGCUCAAAGUGGCAUACAUGGUCCUGCUCCUCUUCAUUUUAUCCUCAGAGGUAGUUUUAGCUGAGAAAAGAUAACUAGCCCAGAGUCUUUCAGUGAGCUUCAUGUUUAAGUGAGGAUUUGAACCCAGGUUUCCCAGGCCCUAGCCCAACAAUCUUGUCAUUGCACCACACUGGCUUUGGCAGAAACUGCACACUGCAGUACGUCUGGAAAUCACAAUAUCACAUAAAUUACCCCACUAUACUUUUCUUUCUUUGUCUUUUGAAACUGAUUGAAAUUGAUAGUAAUGUAAAUACUGUUACUGUUACAUUUCCUCCUAAAGGCCAAGAGAGAGAAAUAUAGGCAGUGCUCUUCCAAUAACUGAUGGCAUACGUCAGCAAUGACACAUGAGGGGGCAGAGUGGCAGUGGUGCUGAGGUGAGGGGUAGCACGGUUUGGGGUAUUUGGGGGGGUGAUAGCAGCAGCCCGCCUGCUGCAGGAUGGUGAUGCCACCAACCCUGAACUUGCAUGUGCCUUGCCCCAUCCCCAGUCAGUGAAUGGCACUACUGCCACUACCAGGAGAGCACUUCAGUUGGCGUAGUCUUGGGGUAACCACAGUUAAAAUACUAGUUCGUUCUACAUAUGUUCUCAUUUGCUUUACAGUACAAUCUUUAAGCAUUUCUACUUGUAUGUUAGUCCGAUGGAGUACAAUGUAAACAUGUCUAGGUUUGCAACCUUAGUGUAGGAUUUAUUAGCAGGUCCAAAAUGGGAAAAUCUUAAUAAAUGUUCCUGUUGUGUUUAAUGUGUAUGCUUAAAUAGUCACUAAACCGAGGGAAGUCAUACUUCAGGGUUGUGAGUCUGUGAUCUACCUUUUAAUAGUACCCCAAGAGUCACCAACUACAGCCAGGUGCAAGAGACACCUAUUUAAUAUGAAACAACAAGGUGUCUCUGAGGCAUUGCUGAACACAGGAGUUGCUUUUUAGUAUCAGAACUGAAAUGAACUCAGUCUUUCUACACAUAAAUCCAUUCCUAAUUUCCACAGCUCUCUGAAUUUCAGUCAUGUUGUUGCUAUUGUUAAACAACUAGAAGUCAGAAACUCACGCCAGUCAAUUACAAAUCUCCCAGGGAUCUACCAAUAGAUUUCAUUUACCUUCUGGCCACUGCUGCACUUAACAAUUUGUAUGUGCACUGGCCUACCUUACAAGGUUGUUGUAGCAUGGUUUGAAAGAAUGCUUGCAAGAAUGAAGUUACAACAGCAGAGGCAAGAGUCUUGCAAACAUUGCCAAAGAGGACAUUCUCAAAGGAGCAAUAUCACCUUUCUAUCCAGUAAUUGAGAAAAAAACUAUUGUGGAUUUGCUCAUCUCUUUGCAUCUCUCCCCAGAUGCUAGAAGCCGCAAGAGGGGAGAGUGCUCUUGUGCUCAGGUCCUGCUUGCGGGUUUCCCAUGGGCAGGGAGAACAGGAUGCUUUACCAGAUUCAGCAGGCUCUUAUGUUCUUUGGGACCAAGUGUCAAGCAUCAAAACUAGACACACUGGAUGGUCAAACACAAGAUAAUGACUGCUUCCAUUAGGAUCUGCUGCCUGAAGCAGCUGCAUCAUAUAAAGCUUAUGUAAAGCAUGUCAUUUUACCACAUGUCAUUUUGACACAACAAACCUGCCUUGAAGGGUUGCUAGACUGGGAUAGGUAGACUUUAGGUUUUUGGUAUCAAUUUUUUUAUUUUACAAAAAUUCAGGAUCCACUAACUAGAGCCAGCCACAAAAUACAUGCACUUAAAAUUAAAUAAUUCUUAGCCCAGGAAUUUGUUUUGAGUACAAGGAUUGAACUGAGCUCAUAAUCCUUUCACACAAAAUUCUAGUCAUAGUUACCAACCCUGAGCUGCUUUUCAGCAGUAUAAUAUGGGGUGUGUGCAUAAUUUUGUUGUUGCCAUUGUUAAACAACUGGGAGUCAGAAAUCCUCACUGAUUUUCUGAAAGUCACCCAGAGAUCUACUACUACAUUAUCUUGAUAUACUUUCUACCCACCUGCAUCUAAAGUGCUAAACGUUACGACAUAGAUAAUAAAAAGAGGUGACAUUGAUAACUUUUACAUUGUGAGCUGCAAACAUUUUCACUGAAAAAACCAUAGCCCAGAGCUUUCCUGAGUGUUCUCCAAACACCAGGAAGGCUUUCCAGAGGCACAGUAUGUUGCAGUGGGAGGAGCAACCGGGAACACCUGGUUGCAUAAGCAGCCUUCCCCACAUGUAUCUUUUGAGUGCAGUUCUGUGUAUUAAAAUACAUGAUAUCCUCAAGAAGGAAUCAGGUGGACCAUUUUAAGCAGCUUUUUGUUGUUACAGCCCCCUCCUCAAAAUAUUUUCAUAUAUAAGCAUUCAAUACAUUUAAGGCUACCGUUAUACAGAUGCAUCUAGAAGUAAGUUCCAUUGAACUCUAUAGGACUUGCAUCUGAGUAGACAUAUAUAGGAUUGUACUGUAAAUGCUUGUAUCAAAUAAAGCCAUACAUG